UUAAAUCUUUAAUCCAUCUUGAAUUGAUCUCGUCUGAUCUCGGAAGCUAAGCAGGGUCGGGCCUGGUUAGUACUUGGAUGGGAGGCCUACUUCUUGAUCCAGAGUAGUAAC
ensembl:rRNA 5S_rRNA 5S ribosomal RNA